CAGAGAGUAGUUUAGUGUAAAAUGCCAGCUWUGGGAGUGGGCCWGGGGGGGGGAAGGGGGGGCCCUUUUA
rnacentral:tRNA from 1 species